rnacentral:rRNA from 1 species
UACGGGGGGGGGCAAGCGUUGUUCGGAAUUACUGGGCGUAAAGGGUUCGUAGGUGGCUUGUUAAGUCAGACGUGAAAUCCCUCGGCUCAACCGGGGAACUGCGUCUGAGACUGAUGACAGCUCGAGUGAGCAGGAGAGGAACGCGGAAUUCCAGGUGUAGCGGUGAAAUGCGUAGAUAUCUGGAGGAACACCGGUGGCGAAGGCGGGUCUCUGGGCCGAUACUGACGCUGAGGAGCGAAAGCAUGGGUAGCGAACAGG